rnacentral:rRNA from 1 species
AUGCGGAGGAGCAGCUGUGCCGCAUCUGCCGCCUCCCCGCCGGGCCGGGCCGCCCCCUGCGCCGCCCCUGCGCCUGCCGCAGCAGCAUCAGGUUCGUCCACGACGACUGCCAGCUCCGGUGGAUCGCCACCCGCGGAAAACCCCGCUGCGAGGCGUGCAACCACGGCAUCUCCACCCGACUUUUGUACGCCACGGACGCACCUGCGAGGCUGCCCAUUUCUGAGUUCAUAG